ACCUGGGUGCUGCAUUCCAAACUGGAUAUCUAGAGUGCAGGAGAGGAAAGUAGAAUUCCUAGUGUAGCGGUGAAAUGCGUAGAUAUCAGGAGGAACACCGGUGGUGUAGACGGCUCUCUGGACCGUAACUGACGCUGAAACACGAAAGCGUGGGUAGCAAACAGGAUUAGAUACCCUGGUAGUCCACGCCCUAAACGAUGCAUAUUUGGUGUGGGCAGUUCAUUCUGUCCGUGCCGGAGCUAACGCGUUAAAUAUGCCGCCUGGGGAGUACAGUCGCAAGGCUGAAACUCAAAGGAAUUGACGGGGGCCCGCACAAGCGGUGGAGCAUGUGGUUCAAUUCGACGCAACGCGAAGAACCUUACCUGGGCUCGAACGGCUGGUCAACGCCGGUGGAAACAUCGGUACCCCGCAAGGGG
rnacentral:rRNA from 1 species